rnacentral:lncRNA from 1 species
CCUCCGGCUCUCCGGCCGGCAGGUUGGCUGUCCUGGCCUGACCCUGGGAGACUCCGCUGGGGCCGCCUGUUAUGGUGCUAGCUGCCGUCCCGGUGCGUACUUUCCCAAGGUGAAUUUGACCUUCUUUGCGACAGCUAGGCCCUGACUAAGGUCGACCCACCAAACACUGGAUCGUCCCCAGGCGAAAGAGAGCUUGUUCCCCUCAGCCUGUCGCGGAGGAGCGGAGCCAAUCGAGGGUCUGGUGUCCCCGUCGCCUCUCCAGGGGCAACCUGCGGACUAGGCCAAGGUCUGUAACAGGAUAACGUACCAGCGCCUGGCCCAGGCGUUCCUGCCGCCACCUCCCCGCAUAUCCGGACCGCCGGGACUGCACGCAGCUGGCAAGCGUCCCCCUGUUAACUCUGCAAGGGUGGGGCGGCACCAUUUCUCAGACCAGGUAAGGCAAGAAAACAUGCAAGAGAGAAGAGAGGGAAGCCUAGGCCAAUCGGAAUGAAAAUGUAAACGCCACAACCACGUUUUCAGCUUUACAAAUACUGAAUCUUGUAGUGGGUCUAGUGGGUUAGGGGUUAGCAUGAGCACCCUAAUGGUUGGGAGACAGUUUCAGGGGACUCUUGCAUUUGUGAAGAUGAUCAGUCACAGGCAAUGACUUGAAGCCACGAGGCUUGAAUAUUAAAAUCUGAUGAGCAGAUGUUACACGUAGAAUAAUUACAUAAUAGUUCUCAAAUUCCUGUUAUAUCCAGGAAUAUCUGGUAUGAGUGAAAACUUGGAGGUGCCUUCUCUAAAGUCAUCAGGAAUUCUGAGUUGUGUUUGUAAAAAUAGGAGGCACAAGAGGGCACCAAACUGAACAAAAUGUUAGGUGGAAACUGAAAAACGUUGGUUAGCAUGAACAAUUUCAGUUUUCAGUCACACUGACCAGUAUCUGUAAGUUAGGAUUGAGAUGGGCUUGUUUUAUUUAUUUACUUUUAAAUUUGUGCUGCUACAUAUCCCAAACAAAUGUGGUCUUUAUCAUCACUGGCAAGCCAUUUUACUUAUUGGUUAAGCUGGAAUUUUAUUACACCACCCCAGCAAGAUAGAGGAGAAAAGCGAAAAUUAAGUAGUAAAUGGUUAUUAUGCCUUAAGGGAAGGUGUGAACUGGCAAGACAAAAGAGCCAAAUUUAGUAGUAAAGCAUAGUCAUCAGCACACAGAAAAUAAGUGGUGAGGAGGAGUUUGGCCAGAAAAUUGGCUAAGAAAAAUGGCAGUAUGACCAAGAAUGAAAAGAAAAAGAAAGAAAAGAAAAACUGCAGUAUGAGGCCUGUAAAGAACGUAUUGGUACUUGCACUUCCUCUUAUUAGUGACAUUCAUUAUUACAAAUAUAACCCAAUUUAGAAUGUAAAAAUCUUGCUGGAGCUCGGUGCAGUGGCUCACACCUGGAAUCCCAGCACUUAUGGGAGGCCGAGGCAGGAGGAUUGCUUGAGCCCAGGAGUUGGAGACCAGCCUGGGCAACGUAGUGAAACCCCUUCUCUACAAAAAAUACAAAAAUUAGCUGGGCGUGGUGAUGCACACCUGUGGUCCCAGUUACUCAGAAGGCUGAGGUGGGAGAAUCAGUUGAGCCCAGGAGGUCGAGGCUGCAGUGAACCAUCAUGGCACCACUGCACUCCUAGCCUGGACAACAGAUUGUUGCCCUGUCUGAAAAAUAAAAAAAAAUUUCUGAACUAUGCCAGUGAUAAUCUGGUAAAUUAUAAAUGUUGUCUGACUUUUUUCUUUGGAAAAUGAAUUAAUUCAGUCCUAACCUUCUCUCUUAAUCACAGGUUGCAAUAAAUUACCAGAAACGACUGGUUCAUACCUUAUACACCUCCAGUGUAAAUGUUAAGAGUUUGUAUAUUCUUAACAGACUCUUAACAAACAUCAGUAAUUCUUUCCUAGGGAUAAGUGAAAAUGUACUAACAUUAAUUCUAUUAUAUAUAUGCAAAUAUCUAGAGGAAAUACUGUUUAUAAGUUACUAAUACAUGUAUCCAUGGUAGUAGGUCUUGAAAAGUUACUUUUGUUGCCUAUUGGACACCCUCUAUUCUCCCUUCCUUAAUAAAACAAAAAAAAGAACAAACAAAAUUCUGUAGCAUCACUUCUCAACCAAGCUUUCUGAUAGGAAGUCCUCAGUCCAAUCUCAUUUUUGGCCUACUGUGCAUUUCUUACUUAACUUGCAAACAGAUCAUUAACAAGGACCUCCAAAUUACAGUAAAUUACAGUACUAAGAUUUUACUUGAACUUUCUAAAGCAUUCGCCAUUUUAAAUUAUUUAACUUUUAUACUCCUCCUUCCCUUUUGUGCUGUUUCCUUCCUGGCGCUCCUAAAUAUCUGUCCAUUCUUUGGACCUCUUCCAAAUUUUCAGAUAAUUAUAAUAGUGUGCGAAUGAUGCAAAGGUAAUGUGCCGUGGGAGAGAACAGAAGAGAGAAACCUAAUUCUGGCCUCAUCACAUUAUUGUUUUUUUAAAUUUAAUAACUAUUUUAGAUGCUUCAGUAGAUUUACAGUGAGGGCAAAAGAAAACAGUUUUCUUUAGGAGUAUGGAGGGAUUAUAUAGGAUGUACAAUAAAUACCCUAAGUACUUCAAAUCAGUUCAGAUCUUUAAAAUCCUAUUUUUCCUUCAGUUCUCAACUUCAAUAUCACCUACUCUGGGAGUCAUUCCCUACCAUGCUUGUUUGUUUGUUUGUUUGUUUGUUUGUUUGUUUUGAGACAGAGUCUCACUCUGUUGCCCAAGCUGGAGUGCAGUGACACCAUCUCUGCUCACCGCAGCCUCUACCUCCCAGGUUCAAACGAUUCUCUUGUCUCAGCCUCCCUAGUAACUGGGAUUACAGGCACUUGCCACCACUCCCGGCUACUUUUCAUACUUUUAUUAGAUGGGGUUUCACCGUGUUGGCCAGGCUGGUCUCGAACUCCUGAUCUCAAGUGAUCCACCCGCUUCAGCCUCCCCCACAGUGCUGGGAUUACAGGAGUGAGCCACAGCACCUGGCCACAUGCUUGUAAUUUCUUUAGAUUCUCACAUUGUAUCUUUCAGUGUCAUCUAACAUGCUGACUAUAAGCUCCUUUUUAAAAGAUGUACUGUACCUGGUAUAUAAUGGUAUGCACUCAACAAACAUUUGACAGUACCCCACAACUUGUUCAGGCCCUCAAUUUAUACCUGAAUUGACCUCCUAUCCAUCUCCAUUAUUUACUCCAUCCAAGACCAGUCUAAUCAAAUCUCUUCCCUGCCUAACAACUUUCAUUGGUUUUGUUUUGUAUACUAGAUACAAUUUAAACUUUUUUUUUUUUGAGAUGGAGUCUCUCUCUGUCACCCAGGCUGGAGUUCAGUGGCGCGAUCUUGGCUCACUGCAAGCUCCACCGCCUGGGUUCACACCAUUCACCUGCCUCAGCCUCCCAAGUAGCUGGGACUACAGGCGCCUACCACCACGCCCGGCUAAUUUUUUGUAUUUUUUGUAGAGACGGGGUUUCACCAUGUUAGGCAGGAUGGUCUCGAUCUCCUGACCUCGUGAUCCGCCCGUCUUGGCCUCCCAAAGUGCUGGGAUUACAGGCAUGAGCCACUGUGCCCGGCCCUGGGCAUGGGUAAACUUCUUAACCUAGCAUGAAAGUCUCUCCAUGAUAAGGUAUCAACCCAUCUCUCCAGUGUAUCUCCCAGCACUUUUCUCCCCUUUAUAUGUGCUCUAUAUGAGUUUCCUCAUCCAGGAAUGUUCUUCCCCACUUGUUCACCUUUAAAGUCAUCCCUUAAAACACAGCUUGGAUGUUAGCAGCUUCUAACUUCUAGAGUUUCCACUCUUCUAUUAAGCUUUGCUCUGUAUCUCACAACUGUAAAUUUUUCUCUCCCCUCUUAGUCUGUGAAACUCUUAAGAUUAAGAACUAUGCAUUAUUAAUUUUUAAAUUCCUGGAACUUUAUGGAGAGCUUGGCAGUCAGCAAUUAAUACAAGAUUUGCUGUAUGUAAUACAUUCUGCAAAUUUUUAUAUUUAUAUUGAUGGUUGACUAGAAAGUUACUGUGGAAAAUUCCUGCCAUCAAAUAUCUCAUAGGCUUGUAAAGGGGACCAUUCAAAACAAUUGCAGUAACAAAGGCAGGGUGCAGUGGCUCACGCCUGUAAUACCAGCUGAGGUGGGCAGAUUGCUUGAGCUCAGGAAUUUGAGACCAGCCUGGACAACAUGGUGAAACCCUGUCUCUAGUAAAAAUACAAAAAUUAGCCAGGCAUGGUGGCGCCCAACUGUAGUCCCAGAUACUCAGGAGACUAAUGUGGGAGAAUCAAUUGAACCUGGGGACGGAGGUUGCCAUGAGCCAAGAUCAUGCCACUGCACUCCAGCCUGGGAGACAGAAUGAGACUCCAUCUCAAAAAAGAAGAAUAAUAAUAAUUGCAGGCUGGGUGCAGUGGCUCACGCCUCAUGCCUGUAAUCCCAACACUUUGGGAGGCUGAGGCGGGUGGAUCACCUGAGGUCAGGAGUUCGAGACCAGCCUGACCAACAUGGAGAAACCCCGUCUCUACUAAAAAUACAACAUUAGCCAGUGGCGCAUGCCUGUAAUCC